UACGGAGGAUGCAAGCGUUAUCCGGAAUUAUUGGGCGUAAAGCGUCCGUAGGUGGUUGUGCAAGUCUGUUGUCAAAGCGUGCCGCUUAACGGCAUAACGGCGAUGGAAACUGCUGAGCUAGAGGCCGGUAGGGGUCAGGGGAAUUCCCAGUGUAGCGGUGAAAUGCGUAGAUAUUGGGAAGAACACGAGCGGCGAAAGCGCCUGACUGGGCCGGAACUGACACUGAUGGACGAAAGCUAGGUGGGCGAAAGGG
rnacentral:rRNA from 1 species